UCCAUCCUUGUCUUGGGGUGAGUGGCUGCUCAAUGAGCGAGUAGUGAGAGUAGUACUGCUGCUGUUCCCUCAGUAGGAAGGUGCAAUUUUUUGAACC
ensembl:snRNA